UUACGGUCACAUCACAUUGAAACAUUGGUUCCUGUAUGAUCAUCGAAGUUAAGCAAUGUCGAGCCUGGUCAGUACCUAGAUGAGUGACCACUUGGAAAUACCAGGUGCUGUAA